UACAGAGGUCUCAAGCGUUGUUCGGAUUCAUUGGGCGUAAAGGGUGCGUAGGUGGCGUCGUAAGUCAGAUGUGAAAGCCCCGGGCUUAACUUGGGGAUUGCAUUUGAUACUGGAUAUCUUGAGGACAGGAGAGGAAAGCGGAAUUCCUAGUGUAGCGGUGAAAUGCGUAGAUAUUAGGAGGAACACCAGUGGCGAAGGCGGCUUUCUGGACUGUAACUGAUGCUGAGGCGCGAAAGCGUGGGGAGCGAACGGG
rnacentral:rRNA from 1 species